GACGAACGCUGGCGGCGUGCCUAAUACAUGCAAGUCGAGCGAUCAGGGGAGGUACUUGUACCUACGGGGUGAGCAGCGAACGGGUGAGUAACGCGUGGGUAACCUGCCUAUGAGCGGGGGACAACUUCGGGAAACGGAAGCUAAUACCGCAUAAAAUCUUGAAACACAAGGUUCAAGAGUGAAAGAUGCAAUUGCAGUAACUAAUGAAGAUCUCCCCGCGGCUUAGCCAGGUUGUGAGGUAAAGGGCUUCCAAGGCGAUCAUACAUAAGCCGCCUGGGAGGGGGGUCCGCCACAUCGGGACUGGGACACGGCCCCAACCCCUUAGGGGGGCAGCCGGAAGGGAUCUUCCGCCAUUGGGGGAAGUCUGACCGGGCAACGCCGCGUGAGGGAAGAAGGUUCUCGGGUCGUAAAACUCCGUUGAUUGGGGAGAACCUUAUUUGGAAGUAACUGUGCACCACGUGACGGUAACUACUCAGAAAGCCACGGCUAACUACGUG
rnacentral:rRNA from 1 species